CCUCGUUUCUGUUUUUGUAGAGAAGGAUUAAUUCUCUUCCUUUUGUGUGCUGACCCUCGGCUUUCCCGUAAAAAUUUUGUAGCACUGCUCUGUUUUCCAUGUCUCGAUCGCUUUUCUCUACUAACGUGUAGUCCAUUGAACUCGUCAAUAAAUUCCUCACAAUGUAGGAGAUGAUGUUCAGGUUCCCAAGUAUCUUCAUUGCUCCCGUAACCUUUCCAUCUGAUGAGAUAUUCCCAUUUGCCCUUCUUGUUCUUCCUUUUGUCUACAAUCCUCUCCACCUGGACUUUCUCCACUCUCCGGGCUCAUCACACCGCGAUCACCUCCCCAUCCUACCGCUAACUCUCGCUCUCCUUCACUCCUUCCUCCUUCUCCC
rnacentral:lncRNA from 1 species